AAGUCGUAACAAGGUUUCCGUAGGUGAACCUGCGGAAGGAUCAUUACACAACGUGGAUGUCGGCCACCCCCAGGGGAGGUCCAUGGCGGAUCCGUCCGCCGUGAGCCCCCUCUGGAUCGGUGCUUAGCCGUCGCCCUUCACCUUGAUUAUGCGCACCUUUUGUUGUUUCCUCGGCAGGUUUCCUGCCGAUGGAACCCCAUAAACCCUUUGUAUUAAGCAAUAAAACUCUGAAAACAACGUAAUUAUUUACAACUUUCAACAAUGGAUCUCUUGGUUCUG
rnacentral:misc_RNA from 1 species